rnacentral:lncRNA from 1 species
AUUGUCUUCUGAUUUCUACAGAUUACAACACGCUUUGCUUUUCUCUCUUCCCUAGAGCGACUCUAGAAAGUUUAAAGCUAAACAACAGUAAUUUGGAUAUGCCUCAAUUACUCCAAACCAUUCAUUAUGGGAACUGUGUGUGUGCUGGAAGGAGUAAACCAAAAGGAGAAGUUCUUGGCCAGAACAGCUCACCACAGAGCGAGAGAGUUGCUGUGGUGCAAAGUGACUGCAAAGCAGUAUUUGGAUGGGCUGGAAUACGGAGGCAAGUCACGAGAAUCUUGACUGUGUGCAGAUUUCUCUAUUCAAAAACUGUGUUUUAGAAAAAGGGAUACUCAUGUUUCUCCUGUGUGAAUCAGUGAUUUACACAGCUGUCCUUUCAUGAAAAAGCAAACUGAAGGCAUAGCAGAGCAUGAAAGAAAGACACGAUUCAGACCUCAUUCCUGAUUUUAUGCUUGUGUAAUAUUCUUGAGUACAAAGUAGCAUCAGUCAUCCUGUUGUCAAUGCAGUGCUGGGAUAAGUGAAGGCAAAACUGGGAUUUACAAGGCCUACAGCUCUGCAGAGCACACAUUUAUAUAUAUAUAUAUUGCCACAGAUCAGGUCCAGUGAAUAUGCUAAACACAGCCAAUAUAACGCAAGAUCCUUCGGCCAAUUAACUAAUAAGUGCAUGGUUUUCUUGUUCCAUCUGAAGCUCAGCUCAAACCCUGCUUGCUUCACUGCAGCAGUCACUUCCCCAAGAGAGAGUACAAAAUACCCCUGGUUGUUUCAGCGCAGUGUGCAUCUGGAUGAAUAGGCAUUGGCACAGUUACAGAUGCAGUUCCUAGCACCUCUUGGGAAAUUUUACUUGAAGUAAAACUCAGUCAGAUCAACACUGAGGGAGGCAUUGUCAUGGCUGUGGGGCUGUAAACAAAAGACAAUAUCUGUCACCUAAAAGUGGAGUUAAAAGCAGAUAUGCUGGGGAUGGCUGCAUUGUGAAGUAAAACAGACUUGGUCUCUGUUGAUAAUAAAGAACAUAACAGGUACUCAUAAUAACCAAACUGACAGGAGAAGCAGUCAGAACACAGAAAUAACAAAGAGGGAAGAGGUUAAGAAUAUCAGCUGGAAAUAAUGAGUGAGAUUCAGCUGAAGAAGAAUAGUAUGAAGUAGUGAAGGCAGAGGAGGAAAUCUGGGACCACAAAGGGCAGGCUCCUUCCUGCAGUGGGACAUAUGAAAGGGAUGCAGAAGAUGCUCAGGGUACCUAAGUUCCCUUGGGAAGGAGGCAAGUGCAGUAGGGAUCCUGGUCACUUAUUUGUCUAGCUAAAGCCUAACCAAUGUAACAUUUUUGCAAUAAAAGUAGUUGAGCUGCAAGUAUCCAAGUUAGAAUUCUCAUAGCUGCCUACUGAAAGGACAUGGGUUCCAUCUCAGCCAGUGAUCCUUGUGUUACCAGCUGUUGCACAGUGUGAACCAUUAGAAACAGACCAGAGAUCUCACAUCCACCCUCUGUUCAGUUGGUCAUCCAGUUCUCCUCCACUACUGGCUGCUUUGGUAAGCAAGUUGUUGACAAACCACCAAAUCAGAUGCUUUACACACUUGGGAACAGGUGUGUGCUCUGGAUGUCAUCCUGGCCAAGCCUAUUGUCACACCACUCUUCUCAUGGUUGCCCAAUGGUCUGGUUGCCAUGUACAGGCUGAACACUGGAUUACUGGAAAAUACCUAUCCCAACUCUCUGUAUCCUUAGGUUUUCAAAUCCUAGAUGUUUUAGUUUUUGAAAGACUUCCACUGAGUUCUGAACAGAUGUGAACUUUCAAGUAUCCAUUAAUGAAAUGGAAGUGCUCCAAGGGAUAGAAACGAUCUAGGAUCUACAGUUGGUGUGCAAAGAAAGGCUUGAAAAAGCAUGUGUCACUUGGCUGGGUGAAGUGGAGAACAGAAGAAGAGACCACAACUUAACCAAGGUUUAUGCACUAAGUGGCCAAGACCUCAUCCCUCAGGCUAGGGAAAUGUGUUGCUUUCACACGUUCAUCAUCACAAGGGCUGGCUUCAGAAGCUGUGCCAAUGGAAUAACAGAGUACAAAGCAAAGCAAGUUUAAAUUUGAACAAGUGUGCAAAUUCUAACAAAGAACAGAGAGACAAGACAACAACCUACCUUGGGGCCACUCUUCCUUUGGAAUCACACCUAUUAUGGACUAUCAGAUCCUUCCUCCACUCCUGCUUGAUUUCUGCCCCCAUUAUCUGAGCUCUGGUCAUCUAACUCUGUAAGUUACUUCCAACCAUAGUCAGGACAACAGUGCUGUAAUUCAAAUGUCCUUCCACAGCAGUUGCAUGUUUUUUGAGUUUUCCAGAGCAAGAUUUUUAAGACUUAACUGGCAAAAGCAGCAGGAGCCACAACUGAGAGAUAAUUCAGCUUUAGCAGUGAGAUGCAAUCACUGAUAUACUGCUUAGGAUUUAUCCCUGGCUUAGUACACCUAUGUCACUUAUAUUAAGUCAUUCGUCACUGCAGCAGUAUGUACCUGCUCUUAACUGAUUGUGCUGAUUAACUGUAAUGUAUGAUUUCAUUUAUUUCUCAGAAGACAAGCAGCAGCAUGUGACCCUUCCUGAGUGUAAGAUGAUCUUUUUAAUGUAUACUCUUUUAAUAAAUUAAAUGUCACAUUGAGUAAUAUUGCUAUAUAUGUGUGUACGUUCAUGUGAGUGGACACACACACUUUUGUUUCCAUUGCAAAUAAGGACUAUUCUUUUGUGUUUAGGUGGGUACAUGUUCAGUGUGAAUUCUCUUCUUGUGAUCCCAGCAGCUUCUCUUCAGUGUUUAAAGAAAUGUAGACUUCACAUAGUGCUGUAGUUAUUAUGCUGGAUGUGGCUACUUGAAAGUUCUUCAAGUUCAGAGAUAUCAUGUCUAAAUUUGUCUGGGGAUCUGGGCUUAACUAAUUCAUUAUUGCCAGUACCCAGGAGUCUGAUUUCCAUCACACUGGCAGGAGGAAAAUCAGAGUCCCAGUUGAACAGCUGAGUGGUAGAAUUUUAAAAUCAAAUCAAAGCUUUUUAAUGAGGAGAUAGGAGACUAAAAUAUAUGCUACACUGGUGGCUUUGGGCACAUGUUUUCCUUUCCCCUCACAGAGAACUCCUCAAGAAGACUCAAUGUAUGUUUGCAAUUAAAGCUGAAAGGUUUCUUCCCCCAAGAAGAGCAAGCCAAACAGGGAGAUGGAGGAGGUCUGCCCUGCUAAAAAAAGAGAGCAAGCUUGAGCAUUUAGCUAGCCAUGAGGACGCAAGGGAGGUGGUAGAGUCACCAUCCAUGGAGGUGUUCAUGAAAAGGGCAGAUGUGGCACUGAGGGUUGUGGUUAGUGGGCAAAGUGGGGAUGGGCUGACAGGUGGACUCUGUGUUCUUAGUGGUCUUUUCCAACCCUAAUGAUACUAUGAUUCUAAGCCAGAAGUAGCUGUUGACUUGAGGACCUCAGACUGGCACAUGCGUAAAAGAGAACUCAGGCCCAAGGAUUUUGUGUGCUUACACAAUAGUUCAGUGCAGAGGUUCCAGGAGUAAUAGCAGUUUAGAUAGAUCUGUGGCUAGAGAUAGCACAUCCUUGUCAGCCAGUUGGUCGUUAGGCUGAGAUAGAGCUUAAUAACUGAAAAUCAACAGCAAAAUUAUUAUUAGGUAGACAAUAAACCAGUGUUUCUUAGCUUUAGGAUGUAACAGAUAGCUCAGCUAUCUUUACUCUAUACUUAAUAGCAAGGUGUCCACCUGUCUCCACGUGCCAGGACUUCGAUAGCUACGUAAGAAGUUAUCUACCAUAGAUAGCUAUGCCACAACUAGUUAUGCAGGCUUUCACUGCAAAUUAGAGAAAAAAUAGUAUUUUUGUGCAGUGCUCCAUCUAGUAUAAGACGCAAAUUUUAGGAAGAGAAGGCAGCAUGCACCCAUGGAGUCUCUGCAUCCCUCAUUAUAUCUGCUUUGCCUCCUCCCAUGGGUAUUCAGAGAGGACACCUCCUUGCCUCACAGGAUAUUCUUUCACUGCCCUCAUGAGAAUGGAAAAAGUCUCUCGGCUGAUCAGAGAAAACCCGAACCAAUCAAUCAUCCAGGAAAUAACUGCAGUGAGUGUUGCAAGGCUCCAUGUAUUAGCUAACCGUCUUCAAAACACAUUUCAGUAGUGAUUUAUCUUUUUCUCUUAACACUUUUAAAGCAGUUGUCAUUAUAAUGAGCUAGAACAACAACUCC